AACCAGCGUGGCGCCGCCAGGUGAAGCGGCAGCGAGUCGGACAGCGAGGCCGCCCUCGAGCCCAGAUGCCGCCAGACCUGUUAAGUUUCUCCAGCAAUUCCUGUUUUUGAAUCUGCAGAUUACCAAUGGAUUUAUCAGCUAUCUCAUAACCCACUGAACGAGAGGCAAACCAUCCUCAAUCCUGAGAGAGACGACCUUUGAAGUUGACAAGUUGUUAAACAAUGUAUAACUACAGUGCAAUUAGAGAGAAAUCAGUCCACCCCUCAACUGGUGUCUCCACAGCAACAUGGCUGGUCUACCUGUAAUCAGCAAGUGGUUGUCCGCAGGACAGACGUGUCCCAAUCCUCAGACGGCAAGGACACAGAUCCCUCGGCUUUGGUACACCGUUGAAAGCAAACUGUCCUGGUGCAUAAUGGCUGGUAAAGCAACUGCUCUGCCCAGGACCAUAAGAAACUAUGGAAGAUAGUCUGGGCUGUGCACACUAUCAUGGAAGCUGAACCUCUCAUCCAUGGACUCCAUCUACACUUCUCAUUGCAUAGAAAGGCUGCCAACAUCAUCAAAGAGCCCUCCCAUCCUGGUAAUACUCUCGUCCGACCUCUUCCGUCAGGCAGAAGAUACUAAAGCUGGAACAUAUGCACCUACAGGUUCAGGAACAGCUUCUUCCCUGCUGUUAUUAGACUGCUGAAUGGACCUCUCUAACUUCAAAUAGUGUUAAACUUGCAAACAGUGAUCUUCUUUGUGCACCCCUGAGUAGUGUAAUCUUUGUAUGCCCCAUCCUGUCUAAGCACCCGAUGAUCUGUAUGUUCUUGUUGCUAUGACCUGCCUGCAUUGCUCGCAAAACAAAGCUUUUCCCUGUUCCUAAGUAUAUGUGACUAUGAUAAAUCAAAUCAAAUCAAAUGAAAUAGUACAGAGCCCCACAGUAACAUGUUCACUCUCUCCUGACUGUUCAAAGUUCCCCAUAGUAACAAGCUACCUGCCUCUUCCUCUGCACUAAACAGCGAGGCAGGCAACCUGCGACUGAGCACUGGGUACUCUGAAUGCUCAGAAAACUGGGGAGCAGACAGGGGCUGGCAGGCUCGAAGGAGGCGCAAAGUGGGUGAGCGCUAAAUAAGCAAACUAAGGGCCAUAAGAUCUUAGUUUGUGCAGUCGUACAAGGUGUUUGCACCCCUGGGUGUAAAGUGACCGGGCAUAAGCAUGUAAAGUCACUGAGUUGCAAAGUAAAGUGUUGAAGGGCCAGAAUGCUGCGUAGGCUGCUCUGAGGGCAUUGCUGAUGCUGAGUUGUUUGGAUGAUGGGCUGGAUGGGGGAUGGGGGAGAAGGAGGCCAGGGAGCUUUCUGGGAUGUGGUGCUGGAGAAGCAGUUGCAUGAUGGGCCGGGGCAGUCAUUUGGCAAGUGGCAGCUCCCAGGUACCCAGUUAUUGUCAAGCUGCACUGUGUAAUUUUUCAGGGGGAAAAAAAAGGGAAUUGAAAGUAUUGUAUAGCAUGUCGGGACUUCAAUUAGAUGCAAAAGCAUGGAAAUAAGAGAGUUACUAUUCAAUGGCGUAACUCCAAAGUCACAAUUUAAGACUUAAGGAGAGAAUCACAAAGAUCU